AAUCCAUGAUGAGGGCAUUCUCUGCGGUAGUCAAUGAAACACUCCUAUUCGUCGCAAAAAGGCUCAUCAUUGAGCUGUUUGAAAGAAGUGAUCUUGUUCCUCAAUGC